GCUUCCUCCCUCAACUCCGGUUGGAGGCAAAGGCAAACUGUGCUCCUGGAUUGGACGUAACGAAGGUGCUGCCGAAAUGCAGUUAUCGGUGGCGUUAACUCACUACAGACCGAAGAGUCAGAAAAAAGUCACAAAGGAUGUGAAGGAAUGGAAACAGUGGUGGCAUAAGAUACGGCAACAUCUAAGGAGAAUAUGCAGAACAGCACUUGCUGCCCGCUGACUUGUGCCUUCUCACAAAGAGAUUUGUCUGGACAAGGAUUUGGGUUCUUCUGAUGUCACAUUGUUAUUUUCCAGCAAGCAGGGGCGAAAAAACAUUGCACCCCCAGGCCCUAAUAAAGACAGAAAACUUAACUGGAGAAAACUAGGGCCACUUUAUUGGUAUUACAUGCAUACAACCUGCAGCGAGGAAUAUACACUAACCAGAGUGUGGGUACUCCAUCCAUGUGGGUCAGCCCCAUAAGGAGGACUGCUCCACAGCAGGGCAAAGGGCCAUUUGCCGAUUCAGCCAGGCACCAAGUCCUGACAUCAUUUCACUGCAGGGUUUUCCCUGCUGGGGGAGGGCAGCCUGACCCAUCCCAACCCAAGCCUUACAACUCUGGGCGGUGAGCCAAGCCAACCUCCGUGUGGGGCUCCAGCCUAGCCCAGCGGGCUGAAAAACACUGAGGGGCUGUUCCUUGGCCCCCCUCCCACCUUAAAUGGUCCUCCAGCCCAACACCGUUACCAAAAUGACCUUUCCGAACCCUCACUCUCCUAAGUGAACAAAGAUCUUAUGUCCAGUGGAAGGAACCCCAUCAUAAAACUCAGUGAGAAGUAGGUGAAAAAAGACUGCACCUAAAGCCAACCAGGUGCAACCCCCCGCCCAAAUCCUACUUGGCCCCAGAUGGUGACUGGAUAACCCUCGCUGCGUACAGGACAGGCGGAUGGGUGCCUCACCACAGAGUGACUGGCAGCCACUGCAAGGAACCUGCUGCUUAUUCAGGCACUUCCAGCAUCAGAUUGGCUGGCCCACAUCAUGUGUGAUGGGAGGCCAGAGCAUAACAUGAUUGGCCGGCCCAGGUCACAUGGAAGGGGAGGCAAGAUGGUGGCCUGUGUGCCUACCCAUGGGGCUGGGUGCACAACCCCGACCCUCACCACACCACAAAUUGCGGGGAGCGGCAUUAUUAGAGGAGUGAGGAUUUUUCUAUUCACUAUAUAAUUACAGAAGUAAGAUAACUAAUGUAGUUAGUAUGUUAAUUAAUCAAGCUUGUUUGACAUUUUCAAACUUAUUCAAACAAUGGGCCAGAUUCCCCUCGGGAUAUAUUGUGCUCUUACACAUGAUCAGAAGGGGGUGGUUGCUAACUGAGGCCCUGCUAACUGAGCAAAGAGGCACCUUCUAAAGUGGUGAUUCUCUUAUAUUUAGUAGGGGGAAAUCAACUUUCCCUAUCUAACAACAGCAUAGCAUCCCUCCAGUGGCUGUUGCUGGUGUCCACAUGUUUCUUUUUAGAUGGUGAGCCCUUUGGGGAAAGGGUAUUAUCUUAUUUACAUUACUUUUCUCUGUUUAUUUUUCUUUGAGAACACCUGUUGAAAGGUGGUUUAUAAAUAGAAAUAGUAGUAGUUUGAGGCCAGGAAGGGAUCUUACCCUAAGACAGCCAAGCAGAGCCUCCAGUCCUUCCUAGGGUUUGCAUCAGGCUGUUUCUUGGCAAGGAGUGAACUAGGGACAUGCAAAUCAAUUUGUGACUGCAUCAGUUUGACUCAAAUCUGGUUGAUUUGAGUGUUUUGACCUCAAAUUGAAUCACCCUUGAGGAUGCUUACUAGAUUUGAGGUAGAAUCAAAUCACCCUUGAUUUGGGAUCAAAUCCAUUCAGCUAUUCGAGCCUCCAUUUUGUCCCCAACGAUCUCUAUAUUGUCCCCUCCAAGCUUCAGCCAUCAUUGCUGGGGUGGAUUUUUACACAUAUUCCCAAAAAUUCCUAAAAAUCCACCCCUUCAACCAAUUUCUUUGGGGGUUGGGUGGCAGUUGGCAACUUUGAUGCCCCUUAGCCCUUAAAAACUCCACCAAAUUGAUUGGAAUUUGAAUUGAAUCAAAGCAAAUUUGAAUCAAAUUGACCCAGAUUCAAGGGCAGCAGAUUUGAGCUCAAAUGGAAUCAGGCUGAAUUGAAUUGCAAAAAUUGAUUUGUCCACAUCCCAAGAGUAAUCCUGGAUUGGUCUAUUUCUGCCAAAUCCUAUCAACAUAUCCACUCUACAUUAUUUUCUUGGAAUGUACCCACUGUUACUCUUCAAGUCAGCUCCCAUAGCUGUCCAUGAUACUGCAGAAGAACUGGCCUCUCCAACUGACUGGGCGGCUUCACAUGUAUUGGUGGCAGGUAAGUAGUAGAUAACUGCGGGUUUCUAGUGAGCUUGUGCUCCUGGUUCUGCUGCCGCUUCUGUGUCCUUUGAAUCCACCAACGUUGGCUGGACAAUGUCGGGUUCCCUUUGCUGCCCAGUUCUCUGCCCAGCUUAAAAUGUUGGUUACAAAUUCUGGGCAGUGAAGGGAACCCAAUAUUCUCCACCUGACCAGGAGUGCUUGCUCAUUUGGAACCAUGUUUUCUCCUACUUGCUGCCAUUAUGUGUGAAGCUGUGCUGUCUACAGUUUUCCUGCCCCUGCAGUCCCUUCAUCUCAAUCUGUAAACAUAGCAAGACAUCAUCUGAACCCACAGUGCUAGGAAACGGUCAUGGAGAAUUAGCAGUUUUUAUGUUUUGUAAUGUGAUGAUUUACUGCUGCUGGUUUGACUUGCUGUUUUGAAUUCUGAAUUUUAAUGGUAGUGUUGAAAAUAUCAUCUGUUCCUCCUUUUAACCAUGGUUUUGUAUUCUGCUGCUACUAGAGUUGUCAUAGUUGGGUUUUGGAUGCUGCUUUUGAUUUUGAUUUUUUUUAAGGAAAUCAGCUUAUAAUAUAAGAAAGGAAGAUGAUGGAUUUGGGGGUUGGUGUAAUGUCCAAUCCUAAUAUACCCGUGGAUAUAACAGGAUUAUCUUCCUUGGAGGCCUUCAAGAGAGCCUUAAAGACCCAUCUUUUUAGCCUGGCUUUUAAUGAUAUCUAGUUCUAGUUUAAAUACAGUUGGGGUUUAUUUUUACUAGAAUUGUUUUACUAUGUGUUUCUGAUUUUAAUGUGAACUGCCCAGAGCCACUUUAGGAAGGAUGGUAUAUAAAUUGAAUGAAUGAAUGAAUGUGAUCAUUUGUGACAUGAUUGACUGACUGACUCUAUCUGUCUAUCUAUCGGCUGAUAUAUGUGUAUCUAGGCGAUGUACACAAUUUAAAACAUAACAAAUAUAAAACAGAGUAAAAAAAUCAAACAACUUCACAGAAUAAGAAGUUAAAACAAUCUCAUGGGAUAAAAAACAAUUAAACUAAAAACAGGUGUGUCUUGAGGGUCUUCCUAAAAGCAAAAUGGAGAAAGAGAUGCUCUUAUUUUGACAGGGAGCAUAUUCCAAAGCUCCGGGGCAGCCACAGAGAAGGCUCAUGUCCACUAGUUCAUGUAUUCAUUUGGUCUAGCAUUCCAAUGAGCAAAUUUGUGCAAUGAUUCCCCUCCAAAAUUGAAAAGGGCACACCAUACACAUCAGGCCAUGGCUGAUAUGGACCUCUUUGGGGGAGACUCACUUCGUAUUAUAUGAGAGGGAAAGGGAAUGUGCAACUCCUCCUCCUCCAGCAUGUGAACCCUUAACUGCUGGUAAUAUGAAAUGGGCUUGAUCGCUUUUUCCACAUUAAGCUCCACUCCUAUUUACCUAUGAAAACCAAGGAAGAAAACCAAGUGGGAGAACGCACCUUGGGAUGCUCUUUUGCAGUGUGAGAGAAGCCAUGCUACAAAAAAUGCAGCCCAGAACAAUUGCAAUAUACUCUUUAAACUAAGACCAUCAAACACACACCCCUGCCCCCAACAAUCAUUUGUCCUGAUGUGGCAAGAGAGAUCUGCGUGUUUAAGUGGCCUUCUCCAUGUAUUGCUGAAGCAGAUGCAGGUGGACAUCUGGAGUCACCUGCCCAUCUGUAUCGGGAUGCUCAUCAAGUCUGGUUGCAUUGGCUGUGUGCAACUUCUGAUGCCAGCGGUGGCGCUUACAUGUCUGCAUCCUGGGUGCCCCAGUAUUUAUUUACACAUGACUAGUUGCCUGCAACUGCAACUGGAUCAAAGCCAAAAUCUUUCUCUCUCUCUGAUCCACAGCCAUGCAUGCUUUUUUUGUACUUUGAAACCAGCAAAGCAGAAAUGAGAUUAAUGUGCCAACACUUUCCAUACCAAUGUUUUAUCUAGGAAAUUUGAGCCAGGAAUGUUUUCUUGGUGGGGAGGGUUGGUUUCAAAGUUGUUUUUUUAAAGUGGCUUUGAGGGGGGGGAAAGAGUUAGGUUUUGACACAGUUACUUGGUGCCACAUAAAAAUUAAGUGACUCGAAGAUCCUUUGGGGCCCUCGCACAGCUCCAACAUUUGCUAUACACACCUUUGCAUCUCAUUUUGUCAUAAAGCACUUACUGCCUUUGGUGAUGCUGUGGUUUUUAGGUGACCUCAGUAGCCCUCCUGUUAUAAAUCUCUAUUGAUCAUGUAUAGUACUCGAAUGAAUGGCAGUUUUUUAUGUGGUGGGAAUAAUUGAUUUACUUUUCCCUCCCCGUCCCCCGCACAACUAUUAUACUAUAGGGUUAUCAAGGGACAGAAUAAUAGCUCUUCGUGUAGCAAUUAUUUUUGCAAGGUACUGUACUCAGCUAUGUUCAGGCAUAAUUACCUAGUAAUCUGGUAUGUAACUGCAAAGUAUUAUUUAUUUAUUUAUUUAUUUAUUUAUUUAUUCAAUUUCUAUACCACCCUUCCAACAAUGGCUCAGGGUGUUUUACACAGAGAAAUGAUAAAUAAAUAAGAUGGAUCCCUGUCCCCAAAGGGCUCACAAUCUUAAAGAACACAAGAUAGACACCAGCAACAGUCACUGGAGGUACUGUACUGGGGGUGAAUAGGGCCAGUUACUCUCCCCCUGCUAAAUAAAGAGAAUCGCCAUGUUAAAAGGUGCCUCUUUGCCAAGUUGGCAGGGGUUAAUGUAUAAUAUUUACACCUUGUAAAAUAAAAGCAGGCAUUUAAAAGUAGUAAAUAUUUUCCAGUUUUCCUUUAAAGUUUUCUCCGUGUUUCCCAUCAGCCAAUGGUGGGGUGUGUUUUCCUUCACCCAAACCUUCUUAAUUGUGCCAGGUUUGUGCAAGUUAUUAUUUAACUUGCCAUAUCCAGGGAGCUUAUCAGUUCACGUGAUGUGCCUGCAUUUUUAUUCCAGAUUCAUUGGUAAGAGCAGCAAGGAGUAUGACGGUGGUCUCUGAAGCACAAAGGAUCUUCGUGUUUAUUAGCGGUGCUGGGAGACCUUGGAAGAAGCAACACAGAAAGCAAACUCCCACGCCUAGGGAUAGCAUAAUUAAAUUCAAUGAAGCUGUU